rnacentral:lncRNA from 1 species
UACUCUCCUGACAUAAUCUAAUGUUUUGCUUUCGCUGUAAAGCCUUUUUGAAAUCGGACAAUGUGGUUAGAUUAACGAGGGUCUUGUCUUUAAAAUGGUGUAAAAUAGUCAUAUGUUUGAGAAAUUGAAGUUAUAGCAUUUUUGAGGUAUUUGUAUUUCGCGCCACGCGAUUCCACUGGCUGUUGACUAGGGUGGGACGUCCCACCUCGCCCAGGGAGGUUAACGGCUUCUACCCCCAAGCCAUAAGACUCCUGAACAGCUAAUCAAAUGGCUACUCGGACUAUUUUCAUUGACUCCAUAACAGUAUGCCAGUGGAAGAGAGGACAGUAUCAGGUGACCCAACAGGGGUUUGUGAAUACUAUCAUUUCACAUUGUAGCCAAUUGAAUUGCAGAAAUUCUGUGACCAAUUUUUCUGAAAUUCGGGUUGAAGUAAUAAAUAAUAAGGAAUUCCCCUCGAGCACGGCCAAAAUUUGGGGAAAAACAGACAUUAUUUCCCAUUGACCCCCUAGCGCCAACUUGAUUUUUUGUAAUGCAGAAACAAAACAUGGUGAAAAGCUGCUCUCUUGUUUAAUGUACAGUACACAUAACCUGGUCAAAAAUCCCAACCUAAUACUACCGCGCACGUAAAUUCAGCCUGUGAGAAAAGAACUGUGGCUUCAGGUUAUUCUGCGUGAGCGAGUGGGAAAUUGUGGGGAGCCAAGUAGGCUACACAAGUAGGCUACACAUAGCUAGCUAUGUAUGUGGAAAACAUUUCAUCAUCACAGUUAAGACAUUUAACUUGUUUAGUAUAGACCGUUUGUAACGACAUUCACUACUUGUAGCUGUAUACAGUAGUCCGUCUGUUUGCGUUGUUGGUCUUGGCCAUCUAAAUGUUCCGGUCGGUUGCUAGCUAGUGCUCACUCUGCUGCUAACACCAUCAUGAAAAGAGGCAUGAGGGAAGCCCUACAAUAUUUUGUUUUUCAAAGUAGUGAGAACGCUCUGGAGCAAUACUGAAAAAUAUUUUUUUUAAGACAUGUUUAGACAUAUUUCUUUUAAAAUGUACUUUUGUAAUUGACUUAAACAAGCAGACAAGAAAAUUGUUUUUGAAAACGUUUUUUUGUUGUUGCUGUGAGACAACGGGGUAACCUAGGUAACCACAGGUUGUUUUCCCCAAAGGCGGGUGGGGCGCGACGUUCUAUCUAAUAGUGAUGGGUCGUUCGCAAACGAGUCGGUUCUAAGAGCCGGCUCUUGUAGGUUAACGAUGGGAGCCGGCUCUUGUAGGUUAACGAUGGGAGCAGGCUCUUGUAGGUUAACGAUGGGAGCAGGCUCUUGUAGGUUAACGAUGGGAGCAGGCUCUUGUAGGUUAACGAUGGGAGCCGGCUCUUGUAGGUUAACGAUGGGAGCCGGCUCUUGUAGGUUAACGAUGGGAGCCGGCUCUUGUAGGUUAACGUUGGGAGCCGGCUCUUGUAGGUUAACGUUGGGAGCCGGCUCUUGUAGGUUAACGUUGGGAGACGGCUCUUGUAGGUUAACGUUGGGAGCCGGCUCUUGUAGGUUAACGUUGGGAGCCGGCUCUUGUAGGUUAACGAUGGGAGCCGGCUCUUGUAGGUUAACGAUGGGAGCCGGCAAACAAUACCAGAAGAGCCGAAUCUAUUUAUAAAAACAUUAAAAAAAUUAAGAUAUGAAUGAUCAAAAGAUUUAAAUGAAUAGAAUUAACAAAUUAAAAGAACGGAAAAAAAUAAAAUAAUAAUAUAGGCCUAAAUGCUCAAGCGCACACACAUUCAUUCUGACUGUCUGCUCAGACUAACAGCCUCACUGUUGUUCCUGUCAAUCAGACACGCAGUGUCAACCAAUGAACCAAAGGUGUGUGAGGGAGGGCCGAGCCAACUCACUCACAGUCACACAGCUGUGAAAACAGCUGUGAAAACAACAGCUGGAAAAUGAGUCAGAAGCACAGUAGCAUUUGGAUGCAUUUUAAUAAUGUAGACAAUGUUAGAGCACAGUAUAGAAUUUGCCAAAACAAAAUGUCAUAUAAAGCUGGUUCUACACACAACCUACACCGGCAUAUGGGAACUGUGCACCCAACUGUGAAGCUAGCUGUAGCGGAGCUUCGAGAAACUAGCGGGCCUGUUAGUGAUAGUGGUGGAGUCAGCACCUCCACACGUGGAGAUGUAUCCACUCAGUCAAGUAGCGCUACUAGUGAUAGUGGUGGAGAUGUAUCCACUCAGUCAAGUAGACCUGCUAGUGAUAGUGGUGGAGAUGUAUCCACUCAGUCAAGUAGGCCUGCUAGUGAUAGUGGUGGAGAUGUAUCCACUCAGUCAAGUAGGCCUGCUAGUGAUAGUGGUGGAGAUGUAUCCACUCAAACAAGUAGGCCUGCUAGUGAUAGUGGUGGAGAUGUAUACACUCAGUCAAGUAGGCCUACUAGUGAUAGUGGUGGAGAUAUAUCCACUCAGUCAAGUAGGCCUGCUAGUGAUAGUGGUGGAGAUGUAUCCACUCAGUCAAGUAGACCUGCUAGUGAUAGUGGUGGAGAUGUAUCCACUCAGUCAAGUAGGCCUGCUAGUGAUAGUGGUGGAGAUGUAUCCACUCAGUCAAGUAGGCCUGCUAGUG